rnacentral:rRNA from 1 species
GAUGAACGCUAGCGACAGGCCUAACACAUGCAAGUCGAGGGGCAGCACGAAGUAAGCUUGCUUACUUUGGUGGCGACCGGCGCACGGGUGCGUAACAGGUGUGCAAUCUGUCCAUAAUCGGGGAAUAGCCCAGCGAAAGUUGGAUUAAUGCUCCAUGUGAGUUUUAGAGGCAUCUCUUUAAUUUGAAACGCAAGGAUUAUGGGUGAGCACGCUUCUGAUUAGGUAGUUGGUGAGGUAACGGCUCACCAAGCCGACGAUCAGUAGGGGUUCUGGGAGGAAGGUCCCCCACAUUGGAACUGAGACACGGUCCAAACUCCUACGGGAGGCAGCAGUGAGGAAUAUUGGUCAAUGGACGGAAGUCUGAACCAGCCGAGUCGCGUGAAGGAUGAAGGUUCUAUGGAUUGUAAACUUCUUUUGUCUGAGGGUAAAACAGUGGACGUGUCCACUCUUGCAAGUAUCAGACGAAUAAGCAUCGGCUAACUCCGUGCCAGCAGCCGCGGUAACAC